rnacentral:rRNA from 1 species
AGAAGUCCAUUGAACCUUAUUAUUUAGAGGAAGGAGAAGUCGUAACAAGGUUUCCGUAGGUGAACCUGCGGAAGGAUCAUUG